ensembl:snoRNA
UCUGCACCCAAACCCAAAGAUCUCAUCUCCUCAGUGGUGUGAUCCUGUCUGGAGUGCAAACAGGAAGUGAUCCUUGUCGCCUUUCUCUGCUGCUGCUGUGCCUCUGAAAGUGAAUCCAAGGUUCAACACCU